rnacentral:rRNA from 1 species
UACGGAGGGUGCGAGCGUUGUCCGGAAUCACUGGGCGUAAAGGGCUCGUAGGCGGUUUGUCGCGUCGGGAGUGAAAACUCAGGGCUUAACCCUGAGCCUGCUUCCGAUACGGGCAGACUAGAGGUAUGCAGGGGAGAACGGAAUUCCUGGUGUAGCGGUGAAAUGCGCAGAUAUCAGGAGGAACACCGGUGGCGAAGGCGGUUCUCUGGGCAUUACCUGACGCUGAGGAGCGAAAGUGUGGGGAGCGAACAGG